rnacentral:rRNA from 1 species
GACGAACGCUGGCGGCGUGCUUAACACAUGCAAGUCGAGCGGAAAGGCCACUUCGGUGGUACUCGAGCGGCGAACGGGUGAGUAACACGUGAGUAAUCUGCCCUUCACUUUGGGAUAACCCCCGGAAACGGGAGCUAAUACCGGAUACGACCUUCAACCGCAUGGUUUGUUGGUGGAAACUUUUUUGGGUGGGGGAUGUGCUCGCGGCCUAUCAGCUUGUGGGUGGGGUAAUGGCCUACCAAGGCUUUGACGGGUAGCCGGCCUGAGAGGGUGACCGGCCACACUGGGACUGAGACACGGCCCAGACUCCUACGGGAGGCAGCAGUGGGGAAUAUUGGACAAUGGGCGGAAGCCUGAUCCAGCAACGCCGCGUGAGGGAUGACGGCCUUCGGGUUGUAAACCUCUUUCAGCACCGACGAAGCGCAAGUGACGGUAGGUGCAGAAGAAGGACCGGCCAACUACGUGCCAGCCGCCGCCGUAAUAC